rnacentral:misc_RNA from 4 species
UCCUCCGCUUAUUGAUAUGCUUAAGUUCAGCGGGUAUCCCUACCUGAUCCGAGGUCAACCUUAGAAAAAUAAAGUUGGGUGUCGGCUGGCGCCGGCCGGGCCUACAGAGCAGGUGACAAAGCCCCAUACGCUCGAGGACCGGACGCGGUGCCGCCGCUGCCUUUCGGGCCCGUCCCCCGGGAGAGGGGGACGGGGGCCCAACACACAAGCCGUGCUUGAGGGCAGCAAUGACGCUCGGACAGGCAUGCCCCCCGGAAUACCAGGGGGCGCAAUGUGCGUUCAAAGACUCGAUGAUUCACUGAAUUCUGCAAUUCACAUUACUUAUCGCAUUUCGCUGCGUUCUUCAUCGAUGCCGGAACCAAGAGAUCCGUUGUUGAAAGUUUUAACUGAUUACGAUAAUCAACUCAGACUGCAUACUUUCAGAACAGCGUUCAUGUUGGGGUCUUCGGCGGGCGCGGGCCCGGGGGCGCAAGGCCUCCCCGGCGGCCGUCGAAACGGCGGGCCCGCCGAAGCAACAAGGUACGAUAGACACGGGUGGGAGGUUGGACCCAGAGGGCCCUCACUCGGUAAUGAUCCUUCCGCAAGGUUCACCUACGGA